GAAAUUCACGUUCUUCUUGGUCGCAAAGUAAUUUGGACUUUUCUACUAUUAUAUCCUUAAUAUGAUGACACUAUAAAUAUAUCUGAAAUCAAUCCACAGCUCAAUCAUUUCACCUUUGAACACAUUUCAAUUACAAUUUCAAUUUCAAGUCAAACCUCAAUCUUACACAGUUCAAAUUAAAUCACUUUUACUAUUUUGAUGGCUUUCAUUUCGUCCUUCUUCAAUUGUUUUGGACCUUCUUCAAACUCAUCAUCUCAAGUUUUUGAUUAUGAUAAAAAAUUAUCUCAAUCAAAAUCUUCAUCAUCAUCAAAGAAAUCAAAAGCCAGAGAAAAAUCAAAAGGAGCUCCGGUUGUAGUUUAUCAUUUUCCUGUUAACUCUAAUCUCUCACGUUUGUAGUCAUGCAUAAUUAAGAUAUUUAUUUGUUUAUUUUGGUAUUUGGUUUUUCUUGUUUUAAUGAGAAAAAACUUAUAUAAUUUGUGUAAAUAAUUAAUAUUGUUCUAUCAUGAUAUUAAAACAAGAGAUAGUUGAAGAUGUCAAUGAUGCUUAAUAUUUUCAGUUUAGGUGUGAAUUUAGUGUUUUUAACAUGUAUUUUAAAUAGAUUUAAUGUCUGCAUGUUUGUUGUAAACGGUACUCAAAGUUAAUAAAAAAAAAUAUUUUGAACAAAAUCUUUGUUGGAAUAAUAUUGUUUUAAUUAUUUUACAUUGUGUUGGAAUAGUCAUGUUACUAUGAUGUAUGUUUGUUUGUUAGUAGUUAUCAGUUACUAUAAUAUAUGCAUUGUUUUUGUUUUUAUAUUGAAAACAUAUAUGUAAACUUAUCGAUCUCUAUGAUAUAUGUAAGUUCGUUUUACUC
rnacentral:lncRNA from 1 species